UCCAGGAUGAGCUGAUGUGCAUGAGAAAGAUGUAGUUGGAGUUCCUGAUUUUGCAAUAUCAGAGGAUCCAAAACCAUAAACUCUUCCUUUGCUACUUCCAGAAAUUUCAAUCCACUUAUUCAAAUCAAAAGCAGACUGACUCUCACAAUUGUCAUUCACAUUUUCAGCAAUUGCACUCAAAUAAGCUCCCUAAGUAAAAAAAGAAAACAUAAUAAACAUUUCAUGAAUCAUACACAACUAAUGAUAACAUAAAAAUUAGAAAAAUAAUGUGAUAACAUUAAAUAAGCAAAAAGUAACUUACAUCAACUCGUCGUGAUUUUCCAUCAAUGUAAACACCUUGACUCCCCUUUUUUGUGUGAGUUGCAC
rnacentral:lncRNA from 1 species